rnacentral:lncRNA from 1 species
AUGGGGUGCCUGCCAGCACCCUUCUCUCCCCUUCCCGCAGCUGCCCUCCUGCUCCGAGUGCAGCUCCUGUCUCCCCACCCCCACGCCGGAGGGGCUCUCAGCUCCGUCGCCACAGUUCCAUCUCUGGAACACUCCGGACGAGUUGGCCCCCACCCCCUACACAUGCAUGUCACCGUCCUUGACUGCAGGAUUUCGCCGCCAGCCUGCCCUCCUCCCAGCGUGACACCCCACACCUCCUUACUACCUCUCCACCUGCUUGCAGAGAUCAGUGUACUUCUCAAUCGUUGUCCAUAUCUUUUCCAAAAAGAUUCCUCAAUGCUUUUCUUUUCAAAAGGGAAAAAAAAAGGAAAAAAAAAACAAUGCCAACAGCCCAGCGUCCGUGAGCAACCCAACAGUAACAAAGCAGGUGUUCGGGAUGGAGGAAGAACUACAGCGAGAGGGAAGCAUCGAGACUCUGAGUAACAGCUCCGGUUCUACCAGCGG